ACAAUCUAGAUCUAAUAUGGAAUGUAGCAAAAUGUAUCUAUAUCCACUUAUUUAGUAGGCCUUGUACCCUGAUUAUUAGAUCUAGAGUUUAGAUUUAGUAAUAGAAUCUAGGCUUAAUGUUCAAUAUAUAUUGACCUAAAGUAGUUAUAGAUUUAAUGGCUAGUUUUAGAUUCAAUUUUAUUUAAAAUUUUGAUUAUGUAUAAAAUGUAAACUAUAAUUAUAAGAGAAAAUUCUGAGUAGAAAUAUUGUGUGAACAUCUAUUUUUCAGAUUACCUGAAUUAAAUCAGUGCAUAUAGACCUCUAGAAAGAAGCCUACACAAGUUCCAGGAAAUACAAGAUGAAGAGUAUAAGUUGCCAUUAUGAAGGGAUAAUGUAGUCAGCACUAUGCCCAGCCACUUUUUUUGCUUUCCCCAAUGUCAAGUACCCAUCAGAGCUGAGUGUUCUCAGGUAAAUGGAACUUCAUGAAAAUUGAAGAAAAAUUAAUAACAAGUAAAUGAACAUUGUGUUAUGGGUUGCUGCAAUCACCACUUUAAUGGAAUUUUUCAAGGACAAUUUAAAUGUAGUAAAGAAAUAGGGAUGCCACUACAAAUCUGGUGAUGUCUUUUAUAUCUACACAAAGGAAUCAGUUACUAGCUUGUGCAAGCAUGAAAAAAAACAUGUAUAAUGUAAAUGUAACUUUACAUUUGAACAAAGCUAUGAAAGUAACAUUUCUUCAUGUGAAUGUCCCGGAGGAGCUAACAGGUGUUCACAGACUGCUGUACAGUUUUGCCUUGUUUAUUCACCAAGAAACCCCAUUUACAACUUAUGAAAAUGCUGUUUAGGAUCUGCUUUUGGUUUCUCAACGCCAGAAAGACAAGAUGAAGAGUAUAAGUUGCCAUUAUUUUAAGAUAUUUUAUUUUAGAAUAUACUGAUUUUGAGAUAAUUUUGAUUUUGAUGAAAUUGAUUGUUUAAAAAAAAUCAAUGUUUAAAAUAAAGUCCAAAUAAAUAAAAUAUAUUAGAUAACAUUAGGCCAAUGAAACAAAACCCUCAUAUUUGCCAUAAUUAUUUAUAUCAAACAACAUAAUUAAAAUACUAAUGUAUGUAAAAUUAGUUAAUUGCAUACAAUUUUCUUUACCACAUUGACAAUUUGUAUUUAUGAUGAAAUUAUAAGCUCAUAAUUAUAUCAAAAUAAUAAUAAAAUCACAGUACAUAAGUAUUACAGUAACUUUCAUUGAGCAAUAAUAUUUAACUUAGUGCAUCUGUCAUACAUUAAUCAACUGUUUUUUUUUAAAUUAAUAUAAUUUAUUUCAGCAGAUUCUUGUAUAUUAUCAAAAAUUAUGAAUACAAAAAUAUUCCCAUAUAAAUAAUUGUAUGUAAUGUUCAGAUUAAUACAAUGCAUUAUAUAUGUAGUUCAAAUGUACACCAUGUAUUCAUGUAUGUUUAAUUAUGCAUUUGUUUAAAUUGCCACCAGUGAUACAUACAUGAAGCCUAAUAUAUAUAUAUAUAUAGGCCUAUAUAUAUAUAUAUAUAUAUAUAUAUAUAUAUAUAUAUAUAUAUAUAUAUAUAUAUAUAUAUGUGUGUGUGUGUGUGUGUUUGUACAAAGUUAAAACAUUAUUUUUGUAUUAGAGGAGUUUGUAGAUUAACAAGACAAGCAAUUAAUUGAAACACAAUAUCUAUGUGUGUUCUCAUCUCGUGGGGUAUGCAUGUUAAUAUUUUAAAAACUUUAAUGCGCUGAAUUGCACGCUCUACAUGUAUCCUACAUCUUGCAAUACUUUUUGUACAUUUUAUCUCAUUCUCUGUAAAUUGGGGAUUACUUAAAAAAGGAGGGAUAUUUACAGACACACCUGGGGGAAGUAUAUUUUGAAUCAAAAAUCCUUUAUCGGCUAAAAUUAAAUCUCCUGGUUGAAAAUACCUUAUUACACCUGAUUUGAGAAAAAUUUGUUUAUCUGAUAAUGAUCCAAGAAGCAUAUUUGAAACAAAUGAGAUGUAGCCAUUAGGGCAGAUGCCAAUUAACACCUUAAAUGUGUUUUUAGAUUUAUAAGAGGAAUAUGUUGCUCUUUGCUUAUCCAUCUCUUUUGGGAUUUCAAUUUGUACUUCUGUGCAGUCAACUACCAUUCUACAAUUGGGAUAUUCUGAAAAGCUUGAAGG